rnacentral:rRNA from 1 species
UACGUAGGGAGCAAGCGUUGUUCGGAAUCAUUGGGCGUAAAGCGCGUGUAGGUGGCUUGGCAAGUCGGAUGUGAAAGCCCCCGGCUCAACUGGGGAAGUGCACCCGAAACUGAAUGGCUUGAAUGCAAAGAGGGUCGCGGAAUUCCCGGUGUAGAGGUGAAAUUCGUAGAUAUCGGGAGGAACACCGGUGGCGAAGGCGGCGACCUGGGUUGACAUUGACGCUGAGGCGCGAAAGCGUGGGGAGCAAACAGG